AACCCAUAGUGAAGGCACCUUCUCAAAAGGUCAUUGUAUCUCUCCCAUGCAUCGUAGAGUGUUUCUAAUUCAUCUGCACAAAAGAAGAGAUAUCAUUACGUAAGUU
rnacentral:snoRNA from 1 species